CCGCGGGGCCUGGCGGCGAAGGCGAGGCGAGGCUGCGGCGACGAGGGGCGCGGCGGGCGGGCCGCCGGGGGAGCCCCGCACAUUCCUCCCCGCGGCGGAGGCGCACGUGGGGCCCGAGCAGCGGAGGACGAUUCCCGGAGCGGCGGCAUGCGGGUCCGCGACCCCGAGGCACCGGCAGCUCGGACAGGGUGGGGGAAGGGAGGGAGGCACCGGGAGUUGUUACCUGCUCACGGAAACAGACGUCCUAAGCUAUUAACACAAUCUCCAGCUGUGUUCUAACCAAGACAGGAACCGAAGGGAACAGUAAAAAAUCAUUUUCCGUAAGUAAUGGGUAACAAACAGUCUUGUCCUUUUGGUGUUCAGGGACCCCCGCUAGAACUCAGCUGGCUCACGCUUGUUUACCUCCCUAGACCCAGGACCUUUUUUAUUCCCUGCCAAAAAAAAUACCUUACCUGACCGAUGUCACCCUUUGUGGCCCUCUACGUUUUUACUGUAUUGUUUAAAAAUAAAUUUGAUGGGAACAUUGCUAGAAAGGGCAAUUUACACAAGUGGAAGUGGACUUUAAAGUAUCACAAUGUUAAAAUUAGAUAUUGAUAACUACCGUGUUGUAUAAUAGAAUAUCCUUUUCCUUAAGAGAAAAACACGAGGGAUAGGGAUACACCGCAUGCUCCCUACUCUCAGAUGGUUAGGGAGUAACAUGUAUGUGUAUGUAUAUGUAGGUGGGGAAAAGAGAGGGACAAAGCAAAAUGGCGAAUGUUUAAAAGUACUGAAACUAGGUAUGGUAGUUCUAAGAUAUGUUCACAGAUUCAAUGAUAUUCCUCCCUGGAAGAGGUGGACUCU
rnacentral:lncRNA from 10 species